GACGAACGCUGGCGGCGUGCCUAACACAUGCAAGUCGAACGGAAAGACCCUGCUUUUGUGCGGUUCUCGAUUGCCGAACGGGUGAGUAACACGUGAGUAUCCUGCCCUUGUCUUUCGGGUAACUUCACGAAACUGGGGCUAAUAUCGGAUAGGAUCUCCUGCUGCAUGGUGGGCAUUGGAAAGUUUCGGCGGUUGGGGCUGGACUGGCGGCUUACGAGCUUGUUGGUGGGGUAGUUGCUGACCAAGGGUGUGACGGGUAGGCGGCAUGGGAGAGGGAACGGCGACAUGGGGACUAAGAGAGGGAGCAGACGCGUACGGGAGGCAGCGGUGGGGAGUAUGGCACAAUGAGCGGAAGCGUGAUGCGGCGGCGCUGGGUGCGGGAUGACGGCUUUUGGGGUGUGAACAGCUUUCGCCUGUGACGAAGCGGGAGUGACGGUAAUGGGUAAAGAAGCACCGGCUAACUACGUG
rnacentral:rRNA from 1 species